rnacentral:lncRNA from 1 species
CAAAUCCCUCUUGUAGUCGAGAUGUUUUGGGGUGCAUCUGUAGAUACUGCCAAGUGUCAUUGAGCAGCCAGAGCAGAAAAACGUUUCAACCAUGCAUCCACACUCUCCAGGCCUCUUGGACAGCUUCUGCUCCUUGUCCACCGAGACGUUGCUGGAGGCACUGCGCAGGAGGAUGCACUCCGUCUCCUCGUCGUUGGCCACCCAGCUCAGCGUGUCGCCCACGGGCCUCUUGCAGCCGCCGCACAGGAACACCAUGGGCAGGUUCUCGUCGUUUUCCUCUUCCUCCUCCUUCCCGUUCGCUCGCGGUCGCUCCACCGGCAACGCCUCCCGCGGGAUGGUCGCCUCUAACAUCGACAAAGACGAAUCCAGCCCAACCGCACCCCCUGACAACGGAUACA